AACGAACGCUGGCGGCAGGCUUAACACAUGCAAGUCGAACGCCCCGCAAGGGGAGUGGCAGACGGGUGAGUAACGCGUGGGAACAUACCCUUUUCUACGGAAUAGCUCUGGGAAACUGGAAUUAAUACCGUAUACGCCCUACGGGGGAAAGAUUUAUCGGGGAAGGAUUGGCCCGCGUUGGAUUAGCUAGUUGGUGGGGUAAAGGCCUACCAAGGCGACGAUCCAUAGCUGGUCUGAGAGGAUGAUCAGCCACAUUGGGACUGAGACACGGCCCAAACUCCUACGGGAGGCAGCAGUGGGGAAUAUUGGACAAUGGGCGCAAGCCUGAUCCAGCCAGGCCGCGUGAGUGAUGAAGGCCUUAGGGUUGUAAAGCUCUUUCACCGAUGAAGAUAAUGACGGUAGUCGGAGAAGAAGCCCCGGCUAACUUCGU
rnacentral:rRNA from 1 species